AGGGGUUAAAUAAUUCAGCUUCGAAGACAACACUGGGUAUUAUAUUCAGACACAAUUUAAAUGCACAUUUUACCACUAACUAUCCUGUAUAUACAUAUAAAUACUGUAAAUUCAGAAAUUAUUGCAUGCAUUUAUUAUUGCGAUUUUUGAAGAAUUAACAAAAAUGCGAGUGAUUAUUGCGAUUUUAGGAAAAGCUACAUACAAAUAUAUGUAUUUAAUAUCAAAAUGCGAGUUCUAAUUAUUGCGAUACUCAAGUAGUCGCAUUAUUCGCAUUAAUAAAAACCUCGCAAUAGUUUCUGAAUUUACAGUAUAUAAUUUUAUGUGUGUAUGCACAGUCCUUCUUAAUAACGGGCAUCAUCACAUACAUCAUUGACAGGAAUAAAAAAAGAUGUGAGUAUAGGUCAAAGAUCACUGCCGAUUGCAUGACCAAGGAGGUCAAAUAACCUCCUUGGUAUGACAAUUGACACCAAUGUCAUUAAAUUUAAUUGGAUAUAUAUACAUUUAUCAGUCUCUACCAUAAAAUAAGAUCAUAUUGCCAAAGACCCCCUCCUAAACUACUGAAAUCUAUGCUUUCACAUUAACUAUAAUAAAUUAGAUACACCCAAUCAGCCAAACACCCUCAACGGUGUAUCUUAUAUAUGCAUAGCUAUUCUACCAAAAACUGUCUUAUUUCUGGUUUAGUAGCCAAAACCUCAACCUUUUGUUGAUAGAUGACAAAUUUAAGCAAUGAGACUUAACUUUAUUUUUCUUAAAACACCAGCUGAUCUUAUAAAUUUGAUCAAGGAGAGGAUAAUGUUUAUUCUUAGAUUAUCAAAAAACAUCCUAUUUUUAAACAGUACUUAUGAGGUGUUUUCAGGAAAACAAUAUGGACAGGUGAUCUUGACAUUCAAUAAAUAUCCUGCAUCUUUUAAAACCUUUCUUCAACCAGGAUCUUAAUUACUUAUAUAAAGAUUUUCUUAUUAUCAACAGUUAUUCAUGUUUCACUCUUGUCAAUCAAACCACAUGUCAUGGAGAUUAAUAAUUAAUGUCAUAUCUAAUCAGAUUAUGUAAAUUUCAUGUGUUGUCAUAACGAACUGUUAAAUUUAAUUAUUCAUAAUGAUUUCAAUAAAGAAUCAACAGUGUCAGGUUUUUCUAUUCUUUAAUUAUUAUGUUUUUAUUUGUAAACUAUAAAUCAUAGUAAAAUAAUAAAUUAAAAAUAAAGAAAUGAGUUUUUACAACAAUAAACACGUUUAGUGAUUCAUAACAUAUAGUUUGACAUCUUUCAGAUAUCUGUGAAAAAAUGCAAACUUGAACUAAUCUAAACUCAAAAUGAGAUUUAUCCUUUAAAAAAAUAAAUAUGUAAAUCACCAUGAAAGAUCAGCAACUAACUAUAUCCUGAAUUUAAUAGUUGCGACUUACAAAAUUAUAUAUAAAAUAGAGCGCAUUGCAUUUGCACCAAUUUUUUAAAAAUCCAAUCUUUCAAUUGCGCCACAAGGUUAUAUUUUAUUUGCGCCAAAAAUAAAAAAUUGAAUUUGCGCCAUUUUACAGGUAACGUAUAACGGAAAAGUUAAAAUAUGCAUUGCUAUAUCGUGAAUAAGAUUUUUUUCAGAGUAAUCCCCCUUGGGUAACUAAGUGAUUUCACACUCAUUUCUAAUAUAAAACUGAGAGUCACUAAGGUUUAAAAUUAUAUCGUGUUCACAUAUUUGAGGUGUCAAGAUGGAUAUUGUUAAUUCUGAGACAAACAGAACGUUAGUUUUUUCAAUUGAAUUGUUCCAUAUUUUUCAUGUUGCUUACAAGUGUUGUGUCAGAACAAACUUUUGGUUUUACUCCACUUUUACUGUAUAGUGCUUUCUAUUAGGUUUUAUGAUCACAUUAAUUUAUAACAGAACUGUGUUUUAACAUUAUUAAUAUGAAAAGUCUCUUUUUAGUAAUAUAUCAGUGUAUAGAGUAAAAUUGAGAAUGGAAAUGGGGAAUGUGUCAAAGAGAUUGACCAUAGAACAGACAACAGCAGAAGGUCACCAACAGGUCUUCAAUGCAGCGAGAAAUUCUCGCACCCGGUUUCAUUAUGGUUAUGAUGAUUGAUUUGGGAUGAAUUUGAACUGUGUUUUGAAAGUUAUUAUUAAAAGUCUCUUUUGAAUAAAACAAUUUUUUAUACUAUUUACCUGUAUUUACCUGUAUCAUUGGCGCAAAUGAAAUAUGGUUUGUGGCGCAAAUAAAAGAUUUUUUUGGCACAUAUGAAAUGCCAAUUGGCGCAAUAGCAAAGCACCGAUAAAAUAAUGUUUCUACACAUUUUUUACUAUUCCUGGUAUCAAUAUAAAAUUAUUCUUUAGAAUAGUCUAUUAUUUCAUAAUUCACCAUUUUAUUUAAGAACUACAUUUUAAAAUGAUUUCACUUACCCUUUAAUAGUGAGAGCCCCUGAAGUGGUAUUAGGGUGCCCCCUCACCCCUUUGCUUUGAUGGAUUUUCAAAAACCAAAUAAAAAAUGUGUGGGUUCGCGUCUGGCGCAAAUACAAAAUUUCAAUCCUGGUAUCUAUGAUGAGUUUAUUAGUAACUUUCUUUGCGGAUGGAACCUAACAACACCCAUUGUGUCUUUUUUUUUUAUAUUAUGGAUUCAUUUAAUUUUUGUGGGUGUCAAUUUUCUUGGAUUAAGGAAAUCUGGCAUUUUCAUGGCUAUUUAAUUUCGUGGUUUUGCCAAAGUGUGCAUACAACCACAUAGAAAAUGUGUCAUUUAAAUUUGUGGUUCAUCUGUGUAUUACCAACGAAAUCAACAAAAAUUGGUGUCCCACGAAUAAUAAUGAAUCCACAGGAGACAUCCCAACAUGACCCCUCUCAUGUGCCUACCACUUCAGGGUACUCACUCUUAAACAGUAAGUAAAAUCAUUUCAAAAUGUAACCUUAAGCUUAGUAACAUAUUGUUUUUUUUUGUUUUUUUUUAUCUUUCCCACAAAAUGAUAUGACUGAUGAUAUGAAUUAAUGCUUUUCAGCCCAUUAGUGCGGCUUGCAUUUAUACUGAUUUUUCUAAUGUACCUAUUGCCCAUUAUUUAUGAAAAGAAUGUUGUUUUUUUUAUUGUCUCUUUAAAUGGUGUUGUUGGGUUCUCAAUGCUUCAUUGAGGCUUCUUCCCAGAUCUCCUUUUAAUGACAGCCAUACAAUAUAUUUAAUACACUACACAUAACUAAUUUUUUUUCAAACGUGAUAGUCCCCCCAGUGAAUUUGUCAACAUUUAAGUACUCUGAAGAGACAAUUUCAUUACAUCUAUAAAGAGGAAUAUAAUAUACUUGAUUCGAGAUUGUAAAAGGUCUGCAGUUUAUUAAGUGUAGGUGUCAAAAGAUAUCAAGUUUACAUGAUAUUUAAACUAUAACAAUAAAUUAGGACAAAAAUAUAACCACUCAACUGAUAAAAAAAUUGUCAACAUCAUUCAUCUUUACAUAGAGUUGUCAUAAACUUUACUACAACUAAACAAAAUUCUAAAUAAGAACAUAUAGAAUUUAAGAAAUGCUUUAUUUCUUAAGCCAAUCUACAAAUGAUUGGUUGUUGCUUGCAUAAUGUCCAAUGGCAAAUAUUUUUUUAAAAACAGUUUUAGAUAAAAAAAAAAAUUUGUAAGGGUUCCACGGAACCCAGUGUCAAGCCUACUUUUGCUGUUAAUCGCAGGCUCAACAAAAAUGAGGAAAAAAAUUAUCAAAAAUAUUCCUCUCUAUACUAUCUUUGGAUUGUAAGUAGCUUCUGUCCAAGUUGGGUAAAAAUCCAGGAUAGUUUAUGAAUCUAAUAAAUGUUUUAAAAACUUAAACUGCAGACUGUAUGUAAUGUUAACUUGAAGAAAAACUAAGUCCAUUUAUAAGUAAAAUACGGAAAAAAUGGAACAAAAUUUUAACAAAAUUUCCUUCUAGAUACUAGCUUUUAAUCAGAAACAAGCUUCUGUCCAAGUUUGGUACAAAUUCAAGAUAAUUUAAGAAAGUUGUUAAAAUUUUAAAAACUUUAACCACAGAGUGAAUGUAACGUUAACUGGCAGAAAAACUAAGUCCAUUUAUAAGUAAAAUACUGAAAAAAUGAUUUUUUUUUUUACAAAAUUUACUUCUGGAUACUAUCUUAUGAUCAUAAACAAGCUUCUUUCCAAGUUUGGUAGAAAUCCAGGAUAGUUUAAGAAAGUUAUCAAAAUUUCAAAAACUUUAACCACAGAGUGAAUGUUAUGUUUCCUGCCAGAAAAACUAAGUCCAUCUGUAAGUAAAAUACAGAAAAAAUGGAUUUUUUUUUUUACAAAAUUUACUUUUGGAUAUCAUCUUAUGAUUGUAAACAAGCUUCUGUCCAAGUUUGGUAGAAAUCCAGGAUAGUUUAAGAAAUUAAGUUAUUAAAAUUUCAAAAACUUUAACCACAGAGUGAAUAUUUGUGGAUGCCACCACCGCCAACGAAAUGUAGGAUCGCUAUGUCUCGCUUUUAUGACAAAAGUCGAAGGCUAGACAAAAAGAAAAAAAAAAUUAGGCAAGAUUGGCUUGCACCAAGUCCUGAAUAUAAGUUGUAUUCGAUUUGUUCCAUUGGUUGAAAUAGUCAAGCUUUUCAGUAGCAGAUCCAGAACUUUUUAUAAGGGGGGGGGGGGGGGGAGGGGGCCCGCUACAGUCAUGCUUCAGUGAUUCCCUAUAUAAUCAACCAAAUUUUUCCCCAGAAAAGGGGGACAAAACUGUUAAAAAUCUCAUAUUAUAUUUGUUUUAUUCAAAAUGUCAAACAGGAAAUAAUGGAAAGGGAGAUAAUCCUGUCUACCAUGCAUCAUGCAGUAGUACAUGUCAUUCCACUUAACAUUGCAGAAAUCUUUGUAAAAGGGGAAUACACUUUUUUAUUAUGAUAUCAUUAAAUCUCUUGCUGUACAUGUAUUAAAUCCUGUUGAAAGUACUGUUUUCUCCUAAAUAUGAGGGUCUGGAUGGGUUUACAGAAUAGAUAAAAAUGCGUAAAAAAAGAAAAGAAAAGAGAAUAAUGGGAUACUAAAACAUAAAGAUUCACAAUAAUAAACAAAAAAUAUAAGGAGUAUAGAAAUAUGACAAAAAAAUAUUUUAAAAUUCAGAAACGAAGGGCCCCUCAUCCAGAGCCACUAAUGUGACAGCUGCUAAAGUCAUUAUGUCAACAUCUUGAAUAUUGUGAUAUAUAUUUUAUCCAGGUCAAAUUGAUAUGUAAAUCUUAAAGUUUCCUUUUUUCUAGGGAAAUGCAGCCCCUUCAAUAAAACUGUUGUCUUAUCAACCUCCAGCAUUAUGUUAUAUAACUCAGUGGUAAAAUCACAAACUUUUAAAAGGGAGGCAGAGGUUCGUAUAUGAUAAAUUCAUAGAAUUUUUACAAGUACAAUGUAUCACAUUGGCUUUCCAGGGGUUCCCCUUUUUCAAAAUUCUGGAUCUGUACCUGGGAGGUUCCCACCUGGGGAAAAGGAAGAUCUAGCACAAUUUUUUUUUUCUUUCUUAAAUCUGUAAAAAAGGGGAAGGGUUUCAGAUAUCCCACCCUUAAUCUCCUCAUCUUUCUAACAUCCCCAAAGAUAUCCACAUCAUUCCUGAGAUACAGAUAGAUAUUAAUGUGUCCAUAACUUAUAAAUAUAUUAAAUGUAUGAUGGUCUGGAAGGGGGUUUACUUAUAAAUAUAUUAAAUGUAUGAUGGUCUGGAAGGGGGUUUACUUAUAAAUAUAUUAAAUGUAUGAUGGGAUGGAAGGGGGUUUACUUAUAAAUAUAUUAAAUGUAUGAUGGUCUGGAAGGGGGUUUACUUAUACAUUUUUUUUUAAUGUAUGAUAGUCUGGAAGGGGGUUUACUUAUAAAUAUAUUAAAUGUAUGAUGGUCUGGAAGGGGGUUUACUUAUAAAUAUAUUAAAUGUAUGAUGGGCUGGAAGGGGGUUUACUUAUAAAUAUAUUAAAUGUAUGAUGGUCUGGAAGGGGGUUUACUUAUACAUUUUUUUUUAAUGUAUGAUAGUCUGGAAGGGGGUUUACUUAUAAAUAUAUUAAAUGUAUGAUGGGCUGGAAGGGGGUUUACUUAUACAUUUUUUUUUAAUGUAUGAUAGUCUGGAAGGGGGUUUACUUAUAAAUAUAUUAAAUGUAUGAUGGUCUGGAAGGGGGUUUACUUAUACAUUUUUUUUUAAUGUAUGAUAGUCUGGAAGAGGGUUUACUUAUAAAUAUAUUAAAUGUAUGAUGGGCUGGAAGGGGGUUUACUUAUAAAUAUAUUAAAUGUAUGAUGGUCUGGAAGGGGGUUUACUUGUACAUUUUUUUUAAUGUAUGAUAGUCUGGAAGGGGGUUUACUUAUAAAUAUAUUAAAUGUAUGAUGGGCUGGAAGGGGGUUUACUUAUAAAUAUAUUAAAUGUAUGAUGGUCUGGAAGGGGGUUUACUUAUACAUUUUUUUUUAAUGUAUGAUAGUCUGGAAGGGGGUUUACUUAUAAAUAUAUUAAGUGUAUGAUAGUCUGGAAGGGGGUUUACUUAUAAAUAUAUUAAGUGUAUGAUGGUCUGGAAGGGGGUUUACUUAUAAAUAUAUUAAGUGUAUGAUGGUCUGGAAGGGGGUUUACUUAUAAAUAUAUUAAAUGUACGAUGGUCUGGAAGGGGGUUUACUUAUACAUUUUUUUUUAAUGUAUGAUAGUCUGGAAGAGGGUUUACUUAUAAAUAUAUUAAAUGUAUGAUGGUCUGGAAGGGGGUUUACUUAUAAAUAUAUUAAGUGUAUGAUAGUCUGGAAGGGGGUUUACUUAUAAAUAUAUUAAGUGUAUGAUGGUCUGGAAGGGGGUUUACUUAUAAAUAUAUUAAAUGUAUGAUGGGCUGGAAGGGGGUUUACUUAUAAAUAUAUUAAGUGUAUGAUGGUCUGGAAGGGGGUUUACUUAUAAAUAUAUUAAAUGUAUGAUGGUCUGGAAGGGGGUUUACUUAUAAAUAUAUUAAGUGUAUGAUGGGCUGGAAGGGGGUUUACUUAUAAAUAUAUUAAAUGUAUGAUGGUCUGGAAGGGGGUUUACUUAUAAAUAUAUUAAAUGUAUGAUGGUCUGGAAGGGGGUUUACUUAUAAAUAUAUUAAAUGUAUGAUGGUCUGGAAGGGGGUUUACUUAUAAAUAUAUUAAGUGUAUGAUGGUCUGGAAGGGGGUUUACUUAUAAAUAUAUAAAGUGUAUGAUGGUCUGGAAGGGGGUUUACUUAUAAAUAUAUUAAAUGUAUGAUGGUCUGGAAGGGGGUUUACUUAUAAAUAUAUUAAAUGUAUGAUGGUCUGGAAGGGGGUUUACUUAUAAAUAUAUAAAGUGGAUGAUGGUCUGGAAGGGGGUUUACUUAUAAAUAUAUUAAAUGUAUGAUGGUCUGGAAGGGGGUUUACUUAUAAAUAUAUUAAAUGUAUGAUGGUCUGGAAGGGGGUUUACUUAUAAAUAUAUUAAAUGUAUGAUGGUCUGGAAGGGGGUUUACUUAUAAAUAUAUUAAAUGUAUGAUGGUCUGGAAGGGGGUUUACUUAUAAAUAUAUAAAGUGUAUGAUGGUCUGGAAGGGGGUUUACUUAUAAAUAUAUUAAAUGUAUGAUGGUCUGGAAGGGGGUUUACUUAUAAAUAUAUUAAAUGUAUGAUGGUCUGGAAGGGGGUUUACUUAUAAAUAUAUUAAAUGUAUGAUGGUCUGGAAGGGGGUUUACUUAUAAAUAUAUAAAGUGUAUGAUGGUCUGGAAGGGGGUUUACUUAUAAAUAUAUUAAAUGUAUGAUGGUCUGGAAGGGGGUUUACUUAUAAAUAUAUUAAAUGUAUGAUGGUCUGGAAGGGGGUUUACUUAUAAAUAUAUAAAGUGUAUGAUGGUCUGGAAGGGGGUUUACUUAUAAAUAUAUUAAAUGUAUGAUGGUCUGGAAGGGGGUUUACUUAUAAAUAUAUUAAAUGUAUGAUGGUCUGGAAGGGGGUUUACUUAUAAAUAUAUUAAAUGUAUGAUGGUCUGGAAGGGGGUUUACUUAUAAAUAUAUUAAAUGUAUGAUGGUCUGGAAGGGGGUUUACUUAUAAAUAUAUAAAGUGUAUGAUGGUCUGGAAGGGGGUUUACUUAUAAAUAUAUUAAAUGUAUGAUGGUCUGGAAGGGGGUUUACUUAUAAAUAUAUUAAAUGUAUGAUGGUCUGGAAGGGGGUUUACUUAUAAAUAUAUUAAGUGUAUGAUGGUCUGGAAGGGGGUUUACUUAUAAAUAUAUUAAGUGUAUGAUGGUCUGGAAGGGGGUUUACUUAUAAAUAUAUUAAAUGUAUGAUGGUCUGGAAGGGGGUUUACUUAUAAAUAUAUUAAAUGUAUGAUGGUCUAGAAGGGGGUUUACUUAUAAAUAUAUUAAAUGUAUGAUGGUCUGGAAGGGGGUUUACUUAUAAAUAUAUUAAGUGUAUGAUGGUCUGGAAGGGGGUUUACUUAUAAAUAUAUUAAGUGUAUGAUGGUCUGGAAGGGGGUUUACUUAUAAAUAUAUUAAAUGUAUGAUGGUCUGGAAGGGGGUUUACUUAUAAAUAUAUUAAAUGUAUGAUGGUCUGGAAGGGGGUUUACUUAUAAAUAUAUUAAGUGUAUGAUGGUCUGGAAGGGGGUUUACUUAUAAAUAUAUUAAGUGUAUGAUGGUCUGGAAGGGGGUUUACUUAUAAAUAUAUUAAGUGUAUGAUGGUCUGGAAGGGGGUUUACUUAUAAAUAUAUUAAGUGUAUGAUGGUCUGGAAGGGGGUUUACUUAUAAAUAUAUUAAAUGUAUGAUGGUCUGGAAGGGGGUUUACUUAUAAAUAUAUUAAAUGUAUGAUGGUCUGGAAGGGGGUUUACUUAUAAAUAUAUUAAGUGUAUGAUGGUCUGGAAGGGGGUUUACUUAUAAAUAUAUUAAGUGUAUGAUGGUCUGGAAGGGGGUUUACUUAUAAAUAUAUUAAAUGUAUGAUGGUCUGGAAGGGGGUUUACUUAUAAAUAUAUUAAAUGUAUGAUGGUCUGGAAGGGGGUUUACUUAUAAAUAUAUUAAAUGUAUGAUGGUCUGGAAGGGGGUUUACUUAUAAAUAUAUUAAAUGUAUGAUGGUCUGGAAGGGGGUUUACUUAUAAAUAUAUUAAAUGUAUGAUGGUCUGGAAGGGGGUUUACUUAUAAAUAUAUUAAAUGUAUGAUGGUCUGGAAGGGGGUUUUCAUUUGUAUAUUCUUCUUUUUUUCCUGAUUUUUCUCUAUUCCCUUUUCUUCCCUUUUCUUCUGGCCCAUUAUUAUCUACUCUGUUAACCCCAUACAGACCUUCAUGUAUCUCCUCUUUCAACAACUUAAGUACGUCCAUGACUGAUAUUAGUUUCAGAUUUUAAUGUUUUACAUGAGCAAACAUUUAAUUUCUUGUAUGUCCUACUUUAACAGUUGUUUUUCAUGUUAAAUGAAAGAGGAUGUUCUAAAGAGGAAGUAAAGAAUGAAUAUCAUAUUUAGAAUUUGUAUGCAAAUUUAAAAUUUAUGAAAAACACAAUAAUAUAAAAAAAAGUUUACAAAUGUAUUUAGUAUAGAAAAAGACUGCAGUCUGCUUUACACAGAAAUUGAAUUUUGUUAUUUUUCAAUCAAAAACAUUUUGUGCAGAUCAAUAUUUAGUCCACCUAUUUCAUGUCUGUUAACACAAAUUUCUUGCCUGUUAACACAAAUUUCUUGUCUGUUAACACAGAUUUCUUGUAUGUUAACACAGAUUUAAACUAUUCAUAAAAAAAUCAGGGUCCUAAAUUAAAUAAGAGUGCAAAAGGUCAAAUGCAAGCAUUUUUUUAAAGAGUAACUAAAUAUAAGGUCUCAGCUGUCAAUAGAGUGAGUGAUUCUUAGCCUUUUUAAACCACUGGAACCAACAAGAUCCCAGCUUAGGCCAAACGAUAAAACUUAGUGUUGGUAUAGACCACUAUAGAAAGUCAACCUUUUAAAAUUCAAUUAAGUAUAUAGGUAUAAUUUUCUUCUUUACCCUAAAUAUAUAUGUAAGGAUGAAAUGUUUUUAACAAUUUCUAUCAAGAUUUAUUUUUUGCUUUUCUUAUUUGCAAUUCAAUAUCAGUAGUAAAAAACUGAAAAGGUCAGAAAACAAAAACGGUAUAAUACACAUGUACAUUAUGCACCAGUUCACAUCCAGUUUUUUGAUAAAAUGGGACAAAUCCCCUUUAUACUUUAUGCUUGGAAAUUAACCCUCCAUUUCAUUGCAGAAAUUUUUUUCUGUCUCAUAAACAUAUCUAGGGUACGUGUAUUUUUAUUUGGUGUUCCUAUAAAAUAUUUUUGAAUCAUAAUGUGAUAUUUAUUUAUUGUGAACGCAAAAGUUAAGAAAUUGUCUUUUUUAUUUCCAAGGAAGUUUAACUUUGUUACAGUAUGCAAUGAAACGUUGCGUGAAAUUUUCACAGUAGCACUGGACAGGAUAAAACUUUAUUCAUGCCAAGUAUUUCUUUAUUUGUAAUUUCUGCACAAUUUUUUGAGAAAUGGCAAUUUAUCAAUAAGUUAAAAAAAAUGGUGGUGUUACUCCUAAACACAAACAUUUCUUUUCGUCUGGCCUAAUCAAAAAAAAUUUUAUGUACCAGCUGUUUACCUUAUUCUUGUGGUGAAUAAAUACAUAAUUCAUAAAAAAAAAUAUUGAUAUAUUUAACAUCUUGACUCCUAUAUAUUAUUUCUUACUUUUUUAUAUUGAUUUCACUUUAAAAAAAAAAGAGCUGUUUCUUGUGAAAUUUAUUUUCCUUACUUGAUUUUUUUUGUCCUUGUCAUUAAGAUUAAAGGAACCUUCAGAAAUCAAUGAAGGUAAUUGAGGUCCAGACCCCCUUUUAGCUAUUUUUUUUUCUUUUAGUAAAUCACAAAAAAUAUUACAAAAUUAAGAUUGGUAGUCCCUAGAUCCUGGUAUGAUCAGUAGAACUCUCCCCUCUGUCAGGUAUAAGAUUGGAAGCCACUUGAUCCAGGUAUAACAAGUAGAACUCUUCCCUCUGUCAGGUAUGUAAGAUUAGAAGCCACUAGAUCCAGGUAUGACCAGUAGAACUCUCCCCUCUGUCAGGUAUAUAAGAUUGGAAGCCCCUAGAUCCUGGUAUGACCAGUAGAACUCUCCCCUCUGUCAGGUAUAUAAGAUUGGAAGCCACUAGAUCCAGGUACGACUAGUAGAACUCUCCCCUCUGUCAGGUAUAUAAGAUUGAAUGCCCCUAGAUCCAGGUAUGACCAGUAGAACUCUCCCCUCUGUCAGGUAUGUAAGAUUGGAAGCCCUAGAUCCUGGUAUGACCUUUAGAACUCUCCCCUCUGUCAGGUAUAUAAGAUUAGAAGCCCCUAGAUCCAGGUAUAACCAGUAGAACUCUCCCCUCUGUCAGGUAUAUAAGAUUGGAAUCCCCUAGAUCCAGGUAUAACCAGUAGAACUCUCCCCUCUGUCAGGUAUAUAAGAUUGGAAUCCCCUAGAUCUAGGUAUGACCAAUAAUCUCCCCUCUGUCAGGUAUAAAAAGAUUGGAAGCCCCUAAAUCCAGGUAUGCCCAGUAGAACUCUCCCCUCUGUCAGGUAUAUAUAAAAAAUAAAUGGGGAAUGUGUCCAUGGGACACAAAUGAUGCCCCCGCUUGCAUAUAACGUUAUAAAGGGACAUAACUCUAAAAUGGUAAAAGUGACACCACCAAAAUUCACACUUGAUUUGUGUUUAUUACUAUUAUUUGAAUAAGUGUCAGGAUCUGUAAUCUAAAAAUAAUAAUAUGUUAUUAAUAAUUUUUCCAGAAAAUAAGGUUUUUAGAUACAGAAUCAACCUUUUUAACAAGUUUUUUUUCAUAAUUAAGUAAAAAAUCUCAGAAAUUAAGCUGGAAUAAAAUUUUAUGGAUCAGUGUCUGGCCUUGAUAUUUGUUUUGAAUGGAUAUAAUGUAGUUAGUUUAUAGCAUGUGUGGAAAUGCAUCCUUCAAAAUCAAUUAAAACAAUUUAAACACAUAGCUUUGAUCUAAGAUAAACACUGCUUGUAUUAUUUCUAUCAAACACAGUUUUAUAAUAAUAUUGACUAUUACAAUUCUGAAUUUGUAGGUUACUUUGAAUUCUUGCAUAAGUGAUAGUGUAUUGGUUAAUUAUUAUAACAAAUGAUAGCUGUCCUGGUAAUAGCCAUGUAAUUUUUCUUAUCAGUUGAGUAAUUAUAAUUUGGCCAUAGAAAUGUAAUAUUUAGUUCUUGUGAAACAUUCAGGCUAUACCAUGUAAGCUUUUGUUUU